GCCACACUAACGAACAAACACACUGCAAUCUAAAUCCGAACAGAAAAAAAAAUGAAUACACGAGCAAACAAAUCAAACGCAACAUGUGCCAGUGCAAAUCGGUUGCAUUAAAUAAUAAACAAAACGAGCAAACGAACGAUUGAAUGAGCGAAGCGAGUGGCGGAGCGAAAGAUUCAUACUUUUGGCGCAUAUUAUUCCGAGUGAUUAAAAUACAUAAAUGAACUACAAUAACUGUUACACAUUUGCGUUAGAGAGAUUUGUGACGAAAUAGAAUGUGUUGAGUUGAUUUGAAGCGGUUACUGCUGUCGCUUGUUGCCUAGUGACAUUCCAAGUUCGGUUUUCUUGGUAAAGGAGUCGAGCCGAAUCGAGUCGAGAGACGAACGCAACAUGCGAAACAGUAGACGAAACAUACACACAUCGCCUAGCGCUUUAUUUAUGCUUAUUUUACGAUAAACGAUUAUUUUGUUCACACUUCUUCAGCCACUUUGAGCCGAUGUGGUGAACCGUUGAAACCGAAUGGUUUUUGUAGCUACAUGCUAAAAACUUUGCGUUUUGCUCGAUUCUUUUUUUUUCGUGUGUGGAAUUUUUGCUCAGCAUUUUAUUUAGUCGUGGUGUUCACACAAUCAAUUCGAAACAGUCUGCAUAUAUAUAUUCACAUCGAGCUGCCACUUUUGAAUAGGACACGCACACUUAGACCGAUCGUCAUCAUCGUAGUCGACGAUUUCGUUUUUUCAUAUCGCACAUUCAGCUGAAAAAGAGUCGAAAUAUAGGAAAAAAAAUACGAAAUAUUAAACAUUGAGCCAAGUAACGAGAACGAACCAAAAUGAAAUGAGACAGAGAGCAAGCAACUGAGAGAGCGAACGAAAGAGAAAGAGAAGGAGACGAAUCGUUCAAAAAUGACACAUAAAGCACACAGAUAUCGUAUUGCUCCGGUGGAAUAUGAACAGAGAGAAAAAAAACAAGAGUAUUGUAAGAAUCUACGAGUGAACUGUACUGUGGCCACAGUGCACUUGAUAUACACGGUCGGAUAUAGUACACACUAUACACUGAGUGAAGUGUUGAAUGAUAAACCGUGUGUAUGCGUGUAUUGGUUGCGGUGAGAACUCGGAUAGAGCGAGAGAAAGAGAGAGCAAGAGAGGGAGAGAGCGAGAGAGAGUGAGGCGUGUUGCCGUUGGAGUGGUCGUUUCUUUAUUAGCUCUCAACGCCGAAGCGGUGGUUUUGAUGCGACAACGUUUUUCAAUUUUUCUAAUAUCAGUUACGUGCUCGGUGUUGAACAGGAUACAUGUAAAAGUGACUCUCUGUAAAAACACUUUGUAUAUUUUUUUUUCUCAUCUGGUUCUAGUACAAGGAAGAAUAAAACCUGGUGAAAAGUUGUAAAACUUUAUCACAUUCUUAAAUGUACAUACGUCUUCAUUUAAACAUAAUUUUUUGUUCGAAAAUUUCUUAAAAAAGUGAAUUUCCGAUUAAAUUUGAAUAUGUCAAAUUAUUUUUGUGCAACAAAAAUCAACAACCAGUUCACCUCGGACCAUUACACCAUUUUUUCACCCGCUAACCGAACCACAAGAAGUUGAGAGAGAACAGAAAAAAGACAUUCACGAUUUGAACAUUUUGUUGGAAACGUUUUUAUUUUAACGUUCAUUACGCGCAAAUGCAGAUUCUAGCAAAAUUAUUCUAUUUGGAAAAAAAUUAUCACAAGUCGUAAAAAUGCAUUCAACUGGAAGCCCACUAAAGAAGUAAAGUGAAUGUGCGAUGUCGAUUGGAGCGUGUGCCUUUAUUUCGUUGUAGCUGUUCAUAUUUCCAAUUCUCUCCUUCAAUUCACAAAUUGAAAAUCAUUUCGAUUUAUCCAUUGAUCAAUACAUUACGAUGAGAACUAUGACGUCGAGCUUGGCACGCACAUGCUCUCUCGCACGCUAUAGCAACAGUAACAACGCCAACGGCACUCACAGCAACAGGUACACAAGUCUUUUUUGUUUUUUUUUUGUUUUCUGCCUUUUUUUCAAGUUCUUGUAAUCGCUCUCUAUAUCGAGCGUCAAUAUUAUAGCUAGGUUUAAUUCACGAUUUAUUUAAUCUUUUUCUUCUCACUCAUUAUUUGAUCAUUUUUCAUUCUGUUCGUUCAACGAAUGCAACAUAAAAUAUUAUGGAAAAAAAUCACCUGAAAAGUGAUGACGAAAAGUGUAUUGUUUGCAGUUAGCUAGGUAGUAGCGCUGGUUGUGCGCUGGUGUGUUCGCUUAUUAGUCAAAUUAUUCGUUAUUAUCUAACUAGACAUUCGCAUUCGGAUCAGAAAAUCUGCAUAAGAAUAGCUAAAAUACACACAGCGUGGCAAAAUAAUGCACAACAGCAGCCACAGUAGUUCAAUGUAACUGGGCAACCUGAUUAAAUUGCAUCGAAUAAACAAAAACGGCGAUUAUUUACAUCAUUUACAGUAAUUUUUGUUCUCCAGCCAGUAAACCUCUCCACACACACACACACACCGCGUGUCGAUUCUAAUUUUUUAGGUGUUUUUUUUUCCUCGCUUAAUUCGCUUUAUUUUAACUUUUUAAUUUUUGAAUACAAAUCUGGCAUUUUCUCAUCGUUUCUUUUUCUUUAAUUUUUUUGCACUUUUGCAUUUAUACUUGGCGCGAAUACUAGUUGCGCGAAUGCGUGCUAGAGACCAUGAAAUACAUUGCAAACGAAUAACGAAUGCGAUGGCAGAGAAACAUUGAAUACGCGCAACUAAUAACAUUAAUUCGGUUUAUUGUGCGAUUAAAACACAUUUAACCACGAUAUUCAAAUAAUGUAUUUAACCAUAAAUGGGCAAUUUUUGUUUUGAGAUUGAGAAAUUUCAUUAAGAAAAUGUGUUUUUUUCUUGCUUUCAAUUUUUCGAAGAUAAAAUCGAAGAAUGAAAUAUGCAAUUUGAUUUUAUCUAAUUCCAAGUAUCUGAACUCUUUUUGGGAUUUCUUCUGGCGCAUGUGGUGUUUUUAUUCCGAAGAAAUUCGUAAUGGGGAAAAUAUUUUUUGAUUUCCGCUUAGGACGAAAGUGAUUUACGUCAUUUUUUUUCGAUAAAGAAAAACCAGAAUUUCUUUCGAAUAUCUUUACUUUAAUUACUCAAUCUUUAUCAAAGAAUCGCAUGGAAUCGCAUUGAAUGCGGGAAGUGACGCUGGAACUCCCAGCCCAAGGAAACAGUUCCACAUGUUUAAAAGUUUGAUAACAAAAUCCAUUUUUUUCUCUUUCUACAUUUCAAUUCAAAUACAUUACAUUUUUUUCCCUCUUUUUACUUCGUAAAUAUCAAAAAUGCAAAUGUAACAUUCAUACAAUAAAACAGUCGCUGUUUCGUGACAUAGGCAAGUGAGCGAGCAAACACAGAAAAAAAAAUGAAAACUCAUUAGUCAAUUUAAUUUCGAAGAAGUUUUUUGUGUUUUUUAUAUUGUCAGCGUUUUUGUUUCGUUCUCGUUAUUCCCGUCAGUGUACACCACAUUCGAUUUAUUUCCCAUUAAAAUCCAACCGUUGUGUUGUUUGUAUUUGUUUUAAUGUCGUGCUUAGUUGGCGCUGCUGCUGCUGCUGCCGCUGCUAAGUUCACGUCGUUGUUUUUAUUUUAACUCUUUUUUUCAUGAAUUUUUAAUCGGGCUUUUGAAUAUGUGUGUGACCAAUAAAUAUGCAAUUUUAUUUGUUUCGCAUUUAAUGUUCCGUUUUCGUGGUUGAGCCGUCGUUUUGUUUUCAUCGGUAUCCCGAUUGUUGUCGUUGAUGGAACAACUACUGGGUAAACCAGUCAUUUAUCUGAACAUAUGUAGUCAUUUCGCCUGGAAUAUAUGACAUCAAAUUCGUGAAAACCAUUCGGAUAUUGUAUAUGAUCCCGCCUGGCUGACUCAUAGUCAAAAUCGAUUGGAUUGCAUUAAUUGCAAUAGCAUUUUAUUAUGUACGCGUACGCAUGCUUUGGCCUUUUAAUUUGAAAAUUGGCUGCAUUCGAUCGGCGGAUUCAUUAAUAAAUUAAGAAAAUAAUGUGAAAUAUGAGAAAAGAACUUACGAUUGGGGUAUAAUGUCAUAGGUUUGCUUCUUUCAGAUCUUUUUUUUUAAUGAUUUUUUUGUUUCGAUUUUUUCGCAUUCGUUCUCUUCCAAUCUCUUUUAAAUCCUCCAAAAAAUCGCAUUCAAAAUGAAUGGUUUUAAAUCGACAGAAGCGAUAUGUCAACGUUACCCCCGCCAUCUACGUCACAGUUCCAGGCAAAUGUGUCAUUUGGAUGAAUGUCUUCAUAAUCGCAAGAUAGUUAGCAUAAACGUUCGUUGAACACGUAUGACCUGAAAUUUCUGGUCGAAUGACUAAAAUGACGAUGUAGGCAUUUGAAUAUUUUGACGAUACAGUAUCUCUCGAGCGAGCAGAGCCGAAAGAGAAGAAGAAAAUACAGAAACAGUAACUAACUUACGCAUUCAACGCACUCGUUGUGUAAAUUAGAUGAAGAAUGAGUGAGAGAGAGAGAGUUGGCUGUUGUUGGCCGGUCGAAGGGACGAAAGAACGAAGAAUAUCUGUAUUUUAAAUACGCACGAUUACGUAUCGCUCUACUGUGUACACGGAUCGUUGUUAUUGUUCGCACCGUUGUGUCGUGUUCACUUCAUUAUUCCAUUUAAAUGUGUUGAAACGAAGUCAACGAAGAAAAAGGAACUGUUUCAUUUUCGUAUCGUUGUGUUUGCAUUUCACAUUUGUCACACAGUGCUCAAAGGCACUCAUUCUCUCUCUCACACACACACACACACACACACACACACACACACACACACACACGGAGAAACUGAAUUUUUCGAAUAAAGAAGCAACGGCAUAGGAUCGGGCACGUUUGGAAAAAAAAAUCUUCGGGUUUCGAUGAGUGCUUCGUUGUUUUGUUUUAUUCUCGGUGCUAAAUAAACACACGGUAUUUACUCAUAUUUAUCUUGAUGGCAAACAAUAAAGGAAUUUUUCAUCCCAAAGAUGUGCGCUGCACUGUCGAUUGUGCGAGCUCUGCUUUCUGGAGCAGUUUCGAUUCGUGCGGUGACGACAUAGCACCACCGAUAAGAAUAAUAAAUACACAUUUUAUGGAGCACAAAUGGAAACGCAGCCGUUUACGUUUGAAUUAGACAUGAAGUGAAAUAAUUUCUUUAAAUUUGUAAUUAUGACGGUGGGCGCAGUGAUCGCGCACCGUUUCUCGUAUGAAGCAAACUCUUCCUUCGAAAACUUAAAUACAAUCGAAUUCAAAGUUGAAGUUCAAUAUCCGUGCCGCUCGUAAAUCGUACACAAUUUACAAUUUUAAGAGUUUUAACGGAUUUCGGACGAAAAAGAAAGAAUGAACGAACGAGCAUUUCUAAUGAAUUUUAAGAUAUAGCAGGGAAACAAAGAGACAAGAUCUAAGUGUUUACCAGAUGCUUUAGAUAAACAUUAUUCCAAGCCCAUUCGUUUCCAAAAAGAAUCCAAAACAUAAAAAAAACAGCCUAAGAAAAUAAGUAAUAAUCUUUGUUGUGAGCAAACAAAACGGUAUCUUUUAGUUAGAAAACCGGUGCCUUUGGGACAACACACUCAUAUAUACAUGCAUACGCGCACCCGGCGGAUUCCGUACAAAUGUGUUUUUCCAGUGAGCAAAUAAAGCAGCGUCUAAAAGCAUAAAUAAAUAAUAAGAGUGGUGAACGAGAGCGGGAGGAAGAAUUAAAAAAAAAAGAAUUUUUUUUAUGCAUUUUUCGUAUAGCGAAUGCAGAUCCAAGGCAAACCUUAGACCACGAAAUCGAGCGCAAAGGGAAUCAACUGAAAUCCGAAACAUUCGACCAUGCAAACACACAACACACAGAAAUUAGUUCAGCUCUAAACAUUCUAUUUCAUAUAAAAUAUUAAUUAGCUAGCAUUUCAACAGUGCCAACAACGGCGACAACAACAAAAAACGACAAGGUAUAUACAAUGAACCGAGUUGUCGCUUAAUUAAAAGCGUUUUGUAUGGUUGUUUCAUUUCGCCGUAUUUUUUUCUUCUCUCUGCUUUCGACGCGGCUUUAUAACGAUUUAUUUUGGGCUGUUUCUCUUUUUUCUUCUCUGUCCCUGUCGUUGUCUAUCGUUUCGCUUUCGUAUGUAUUUUUCUUUCGAUUUCUUCAGCAUUUCAAAGUAAAACAUACAUACAACGCAACGAAAUUUAAACAAUAAAGAUAAUUAUUUUUUAAAAUGGUAUCGUUUAUUUCCGUUGGUAAAUAUUUGGCGCGAGAUAAAAACACUUCAACAUAUCGUAUACAUUUACACCAAGCAUUUACAAAGAUGACAAACACAGGUAACGAAAAAGAAGGUCUUCGUUUUUGUUGAAAAUGAAAGACACAAAAAUGCGUUCCAUUCAAUAGCACACGACCCGCUUCGUUAGCAUUAUACGUACGACGACGACGGCGAAGGCGACAACCACGUUCACGGACCUUUGCACUUUAUUUGAAUAAUUCUCUUUCUUUCAUAAAACUAUUUGUAUGAACUAACUCCGAUAAUGUUCUGUCGAACACUCUUUGACACUCGCUCUCGCUCUCACUCUCUCUUUCUCGGCCCAAAUAUUUGGAUUCACUAGAUAAUAAUGAGUUUCCGCUGAAUUUCGAUGAGAAAAUGAAAAAUCUCCAUUUUAUACCGUAUUGGUUACAAACCACCAUUCACGGAUUUUCAGUCAAUUCAAGGAAAGAUCGUUUCAUUUACCCGAUAAUAAUCGUUAUUGCUUCGCCUGAGCCCUUUAUCUAUUUUUAAUACUUUUCCAAAUUCGGUUGAUUCGAUUAAAAAAAAAAUAGGUGUUCAUGACGAAAAUCCAUUUGUAAUUUCCAAAUAUGAAUAUUCAAUUGAAAUUGGAAGCAGAAAAACAAUUUAGAAAAUUGAAAAUGAACGAAAAAUGCAAAGAAAAA